GGAUGAACGCUAGCGAUAGGCUUAACACAUGCAAGUCGAGGGGCAUCACGAGGUAGCAAUACUUUGGUGGCGACCGGCGUACGGGUGCGUAACACGUAUGCAACCUUCCUGUAAGUGUGGGAUAGCCUCCUGAAAGGGAGAUUAAUACCUCAUGAUAUGUAUUUGCUGCAUGGCAUUUACAUUAAACAUUUAUGGCUUACAGAUGGGCAUGCGUUCCAUUAGGCAGUUGGUGUGGUAACGGCUCACCAAACCUACGAUGGAUAGGGGUUCUGAGAGGAAGGUCCCCCACACUGGAACUGAGACACGGUCCAGACUCCUACGGGAGGCAGCAGUGAGGAAUAUUGGUCAAUGGGCGCGAGCCUGAACCAGCCACGUCGCGUGAAGGAUGACGGCCUUAUGGGUUGUAAACUUCUUUUACAGGGGAAUAAAGUGAGUCACGUGUGAUUUUUUGCAUGUACCCUGUGAAUAAGCAUCGGCUAACUCCGUGCCAGCAGCCGCGGUAAUACGGAGGAUGCGAGCGUUAUCCGGAUUUAUUGGGUUUAAAGGGUGCGUAGGCGGGAUAUUAAGUCAGCGGUGAAAGUUUUCGGCUCAACCUUAAAAUUGCCGUUGAAACUGUUAUUCUUGAGUGCAGUAGAGGUAGGCGGAAUUCGUUGUGUAGCGGUGAAAUGCGUAGAUAUAACGAGGAACUCCGAUUGCGUAGGCAGCUUACUAUAUUGCUACUGACGCUGAGGCUCGAAAGUGUGGGUAUCAAACAGGAUUAGAUACCCUGGUAGUCCACACAGUAAACGAUGAAUACUAGCUGUUUGCGAUAUAUUGUAAGCGGCCGAGCGAAAGCAUUAAGUAUUCCACCUGGGGAGUACGUCGGCAACGAUG
rnacentral:rRNA from 1 species